UAUCAACUUUCAUUAUAUAUAUAUCAAAUCUUUUUUUCCUACCGAGCCCCGGAAGGGACAUGUCCGUAUGGCGAAGCGACAACGAAGGACACUCACCCGGACGAGAAUUUUAUUGAGUUUUAUUUUAAAAUCGGCCUGAAACACACAGACAUUCAAGCAGUGCGAUGCGCUAAGAGUCUGCCAUGCAGACCAGCGAUCCUGAUAAUGUUGUCGGCCUUGGAUGAUGAGGUCCAGUUACCAGGAGCACUAGUCUGCAGCUUACUGGUUCCGUCCUGCAGCUCCUCCACGCUGUCCUCCUCUCUACAGACCAAAUCAAGAAAAGGGAACCAGGAAGCUGCUGUGGAUCCUCUGCAGUAUCUGGAGAGGUCAGAGGAACGGUUCUUGGAACAGAUCGGAAGACACCAAGACGUGACCUCUGCCAUGCUCCAGAACAUCCAGAAGAUGAAUGAAAACCUUGGUUGCACUGAUGGGACGCAUGGUGUCGGUGCUGGAGCAACUGUCCCAGAAUUAAACUGCAUUGUUGACUAUUGGCUUUUCUAGAAAAUAAAUCUUUUUUAGUACUUCA